CCUGUCCGUCUGGCAAUGGAAGGGUUCUUCUUCUGCUAUUUACCUUCUGCGUUACAAUUGGAUGCAGGACACUCCUGAAGACACGUCACGACAAAUGCCACGAUGAACCAGUGAUUGCAAAACAUCAUUUUUUUGAGGAGCCUACCGUAGCUACGUAUUUGCUACGAUGUGUAAAACUUAACUGGGCUACAUGUCAAGACCUCCUCUGCAUAAAGCCUGGAUAAGGCCAAUUGUUACCGUGACCGUUACAUCCCCAAAAAAAUUGUUAUCGCGUUUGCAUUUCACACCCAAUUGUUUCACCCAUGUUACCUGUUGGGCCUCGAUCGCUGUACUUUGAGAGCAAGUGCAUUUGAAAUUGAUAUUCAAUCAUUCAUAUGCUGAGUACUCUUACAAAAAAAAAAAAGCA
rnacentral:sRNA from 1 species